GUGAAACUGGUGGAAGAAAUAGUCGUGUGUCGGGAAGAGUUGUGAAUUAAAUGGCUAAAAAUGACCACGGUUUUAAGCAGAGGAAAUGAAUAAUCAUCUCCCUGCACAUUGAUUUUUUCCCCCUGUUGUUUGUAUGUAUUUGUUUAAUUUUAACCUGUGCAAAUAAAUAAACUCAAAUAUGAA